AUGCGAUACGUAAUGUGAAUUGCAGAAUUCAGUGAAUCAUCGAAUCUUUGAACGCAUAUUGCGCUCUUUGGUAUUCCGAAGAGCAUGCUUGUUUGAGUAUCAGUAAACACCUCAAAGCUUUUGAUUUUUUUUUGAAAGCUUUGGACUUGAGCAAUCCCAACACCAGUCUUUUUUAGAUCGGAGGCGGGUUGCUUGAAAUGCAGGUGCAGCUGGACAUUCUCCUGAGCUAAAAGCAUAUUCAUUUAGUCCCGUCAAACGGAUUAUUACUUUUGCUGCAGCUAACAUAAAGGGAGUUUGACCGUAUUGGCUGACUGAUGCAGGAUUUCACAGGGGUCGGCAACGACGCUUGUUAAACUCGAUCUCAAAUCAAGUAAGACUACCCGCUGAACUUAA
rnacentral:misc_RNA from 1 species